GCCGAGGUGGCGAAAUUGGCAAACGCACGCGACUCAAAAUCGCGCGGGGCAACCCUUGUGGGUUCGAGUCCCACCCUCGGCA
rnacentral:tRNA from 2 species